CUCGCAAUGCCAUGAUCAAAGUUAAUAUAAAAGGCUCGGAGUUGUUGAUGUUCUCCUCGAAAGUAUUGGACGAGACCUCCCAGUGUAUGCCCACUGCAUUUCUGCAUCUCUUUUGUCUGUCCAUAAUUUCUCAAUCAAUUGGCUUUAAGAUAACAUCUGUUUUGUGUUUGCAGUUUUCAUCAGUACGCAGAACAAAACAGAAAACUACCUUUGGGGUUUUUUUCUCCAGAACAAAAUCUCACAAGCACCUGUUCCAGGAACUUCUUAUCAAACUAAUAAAGAUUUUGAUGAAGGAGAUGUUGUUGACAUGGAGUUAGACACUGAUUACCCGACCCCGAGUCUGGCUCUCAAGCUAGUUGCAGAAUCACAACGCACUCCCUCAAUCUCACUGGGGAAGGAGAACAAAGAAGUCAGCUUACCUCCUGGUAUCGAGAAUCCUUCAAGAUCACCGGGAAAGGUAAAGAAAGAACUGAGCUUACCUCCUGGUUUCGAGAAGAUAUGGACACCACCCUUGGUGACACUUAAUAUACAUGGAACUUGGAACCAUCUGUCUGAGGAUCUAACAGGAUCUGCUGGAUUAGUGCGUGACGAAUCAGGGAAGUGGGUGUUUGGCUACGUC
rnacentral:lncRNA from 1 species